rnacentral:lncRNA from 1 species
UUAUUGCUUGCCUAAGACCAGGAGGAGAAUCAUCAAACUAGAAUUAGAGCAUCCACCAUGACGCUCAAGACCAACAAUGCAAGGGUCAAACUUGUCAAGAAAUAGCAUGAGGAAAUCAAUUGAGAUCGGCCUACCAUUCUAAAGGAUGUUCCUUCACUCAUGACAAAUAAUAAAAAGACUCAUAAUGAAGUCUUGGCAAACAAUGUGCAGGUUCUCAUCCAAAGAUAGAC